CUAAGGAUGGUUCUUCAGAAGCUUGCUUCUAUCGAACCGUUUUAGAAACAUCAGUGGCCAACGAUCGUCAGGAUCGUUGAGCUGCAUUGGCGGGAUUUCGCCGUCUUCGUUUCUCUUUCUUCGCGGACGAACACGCGCUGGGCCUGCGAGAGCAGGGUCCCUGGUCCUUGACGGGAUAUGCGUUAGGGGCUUGUAGCUCAGUUGGUUAGAGCGCGCGCUUGAUAAGCGUGAGGUCGGAAGUUCAAGUCUUCCCAGGCCCACCACACUCAUCGGGUAAGCAUUCGUCUUCUGGUUACGGGGCCAUAGCUCAGCUGGGAGAGCGCGUGCUUUGCAAGCAUGAGGUCGUCGGUUCGAUCCCGUCUGGCUCCACCAGAUGGUUUGAUCACCGACGCUGUGUUUGCAGCUAUUCAACCGUCGUCCGCGAAACAUCACUUCGCACCUACUAGUCUGGAUAGACAGCAGGUUGCGUGAUUUCUGACAUCGUAAAGAGGAGAUCGAUCCGAGUUGGAUCGGGCAGCAAGCAAUUGCUGCGCGAACCUUCAUUAUCUCCGGAUCAUUUCGGCGCUCGCGCGCCUUUCAAUGCGGCUCACAAGGCUGCGUCUGAAGGGAAUGCGGGUUGUAAAUGAUCCUUUUAGCGAAGCUUGACCGCCUCGCUAUCGGAACGAUCUUACGAAGCAAGCUGGUCUUUCUAAUCAUUGUCCGGCUGUACGUAGCGUUCAUCGAGGGCGCGUGCCGCAAGGCAAUCGUACAGACAACAUUCUGCCGAGUGUGUGGACAUUGAUAAUGAGAGC
rnacentral:tRNA from 1 species